ACCUUCUCCUAGUGAGCAGACUGGAACAUAGAGGAGACUCCACAAGGGGGAGGGGAUGGGAAUCAUUCCAGAAACACAAGGAAGCCUGGGUAGUCUGGGUUCUCCCACAAAGGCCAGGCAUGAGGCAACCAAGAGGAAGACAGCAACUCUCACAUGUUGGAGCCCACAACAGUUGAACAGGAAAGGCCUCAUAGCUGGAAUGGAGGGGGGAAAAAAACAACACAGGACCUGGGAAGAAGCAGCUCAGUGGGUCUUACAGCCUGAAUCCCCACCUUCAAAUGUUCUGUUCCAAGUCUGCUGGAUGAUUUUCCCUCCAUCCUUCUUGCUGUAACCAGCUCUGAGUACUUCGUGUAAAGCCAGGACGUAGAGCAGGAUGGCAUCGUGGAAUCCUUCAACAAACAUGUUAACCUGUAAAGGAAACCACAGAGCCACCAUCUGAAUGCAACAAUAUUACAAGUAGUCACCAUGGUGGCAAACAAUAGCUAAAGCAUUGAUACUCGAUCUGGAAUGUAAAAUGGUUGUUGUCACAGGCAUCCCAGUGAAAGUGUGCUGACACUGCCAUUAAUAGAAUAUUUCACAUUCUAAACACAGAAUAGCUGAAGACCAAGAAGGACUCUCCAGGGGUGUGUGAGGAUGCCAACGUUUGCUCUCUGAAUAUCAUUAUUUAGACAACUUACACUGUGAUCGCUGAUCUUGACCAACCUCAAGGAGGAAGCCAGACAAAAUGACACCAUUGUUGAGUUUUGAUGCCAUAAAAUGAACAGGUGACCAAUAAAGCAAACUAACCUACUGUGGCAUUCAGCA